rnacentral:rRNA from 1 species
AGUGAACGCUGGCGGUAGGCCUAACACAUGCAAGUCGAACGGCAGCACAGUAAGAGCUUGCUCUUACGGGUGGCGAGUGGCGGACGGGUGAGGAAUACAUCGUAAUCUACUUUUUCGUGGGGGAUAACGUAGGGAAACUUACGCUAAUACCGCAUACGACCUACGGGUGAAAGCAGUGGAUCUUCGGACCUUUCGCGAUUGAAUGAGCCGAUGUCGGAUUAGCUAGUUGGGGGGGUAAAGGCCCACCAAGGCGACGAUCCGUAGCUGGUCUGAGAGGAUGAUCAGCCACACUGGAACUGAGACACGGUCCAGACUCCUACGGGAGGCAGCAGUGGGGAAUAUUGGACAAUGGGCGCAAGCCUGAUCCAGCCAUACCGAGUGGGUGAAGAAGGCCUUCGGGUUGUAAAGACCUUUUGUUGGGAAAGAAAAGCAGCAGGUUAAUACCCCGCUGUUCUGACGGUACCCAAAGAAUAAGCACCGGCUAACUUCGUG